rnacentral:misc_RNA from 1 species
UUUCCGUAGGUGAACCUGCGGAAGGAUCAUUACAUUCAGUAGCCCAGCUACUUGUUUACACCCUUGACUUUUUGCGCACCCUUGUUUCCUCGGUAGGCUUGCCUGCCGGUUGGACAACUUAAUAACCUUUGAAAUUUUCAAUCAGCGUCUGUAAAACAUAAUAAUUACAACUUUCAACAACGGAUCUCUUGGUUCUGGCAUCGAUGAAGAACGCAGC